GACGAACGCUGGCGGCGUGCUUAACACAUGCAAGUCGAACGAUGAUCCGGAGCUUGCUCCGGGGAUUAGUGGCGAACGGGUGAGUAACACGUGAGUAACCUGCCCUUGACUCUGGGAUAAGCGCUGGAAACGGCGUCUAAUACCGGAUACGUGCUUCCGCCGCAUGGCGUGGAGUUGGAAAGAAUUUCGGUCAAGGAUGGACUCGCGGCCUAUCAGCUGGUUGGUGAGGUAAUGGCUCACCAAGGCGACGACGGGUAGCCGGCCUGAGAGGGUGACCGGCCACACUGGGACUGAGACACGGCCCAGACUCCUACGGGAGGCAGCAGUGGGGAAUAUUGCACAAUGGGCGCAAGCCUGAUGCAGCAACGCCGCGUGAGGGACGACGGCCUUCGGGUUGUAAACCUCUUUUAGUAGGGAAGAAGCGAAAGUGACGGUACCUGCAGAAAAAGCACCGGCUAACUACGUGCCAGCCGCCGCCGUAAGAC
rnacentral:rRNA from 1 species